GAUUUACUUCGGUAAUGACGCUGGGGACGCGAGCGGCGGAUGGGUGAGUAACACGUGGGGAACCUGCCCCAUAGUCUAGGAUACCACUUGGAAACAGGUGCUAAUACCGGAUAAUAAAGCAGAUCGCAUGAUCAGCUUAUAAAAGGCGGCGUAAGCUGUCGCUAUGGGAUGGCCCCGCGGUGCAUUAGCUAGUUGGUAAGGUAACGGCUUACCAAGGCAAUGAUGCAUAGCCGAGUUGAGAGACUGAACGGCCACAUUGGGACUGAGACACGGCCCAAACUCCUACGGGAGGCAGCAGUAGGGAAUCUUCCACAAUGGACGCAAGUCUGAUGGAGCAACGCCGCGUGAGUGAAGAAGGUUUUCGGAUCGUAAAGCUCUGUUGUUGGUGAAGAAGGAUAGAGGUAGUAACUGGCCUUUAUUUGACGGUAAUCAACCAGAAAGUCACGGCUAACUACGUGCCAGCAGCCGCGGUAAUACGUAGGUGGCAAGCGUUGUCCGGAUUUAUUGGGCGUAAAGCGAGCGCAGGCGGAAGAAUAAGUCUGAUGUGAAAGCCCUCGGCUUAACCGAGGAAUUGCAUCGGAAACUGUUUUUCUUGAGUGCAGAAGAGGAGAGUGGAACUCCAUGUGUAGCGGUGGAAUGCGUAGAUAUAUGGAAGAACACCAGUGGCGAAGGCGGCUCUCUGGUCUGCAACUGACGCUGAGGCUCGAAAGCAUGGGUAGCGAACAGGAUUAGAUACCCUGGUAGUCCAUGCCGUAAACGAUGAGUGCUAAGUGUUGGGAGGUUUCCGCCUCUCAGUGCUGCAGCUAACGCAUUAAGCACUCCGCCUGGGGAGUACGACCGCAAGGUUGAAACUCACAGGAAUUGACGGGGGCCCGCACAAGCGGUGGAGCAUGUGGUUUAAUUCGAAGCAACGCGAAGAACCUUACCAGGUCUUGACAUCUAGUGCCAUCCUAAGAGAUUAGGAGUUCCCUUCGGGGACGCUAAGACAGGUGGUGCAUGGCUGUCGUCAGCUCGUGUCGUG
rnacentral:rRNA from 1 species